CAACAAACGUACCGAGCGAAAUCCAUUACUAGAAGGUGCCAAUCAAUAUAGUCCAUCGAGGCUUGUCAGCUUCUUGCAAGGUAAAAUGUAUGAUCGUUCAAUUUAUAUGCCUGGAAAUGCUUAUUCUUGAUUUGUAUACUGAAUUAUUUUAGGCCUUUGAUUUUUGUAGCAUAAUUAUUUGUUUCUGUCAUUCUAUGUGCAUUCCCUGCUGAAUUAUGUUGCUAGCAUUGAAGAAUUGUCUCAAAAUAAGUAAAAUAAGUUUGGGACUCACUGAAGUAGUAAUUUUUGAAGAACUCAAUUCCAUUAACAUAUUCAACAAAGGAGCUCCCUAGUACGAGGAUAAAUAUGGUAAUAACCCAGUGGAGUCUUAAGGUAAAAGAAAAGGAAACACAAUAUUUAAGACGAAGGAAACUACUCUCAAAGUAUAGGGCCUCAACAUAAUCCGUCGCUUAGGGUCACCAUAUUCUCAGGGCCGGCUCUGCCAGAUAGUUGAUAUUUUAGAACAAAAUAAAAAUGAUUGUCAAUUUAAUUGGACAAUUCUUUUAGAAUUAGCAUGAGGAAUUAAAAAACUGUAAGUAACGUACAAAAGAUAAUUAGAUCUAGAAGUUCGAAAAGUAAUUUAUUUGGAUACAUUCACCGACUAAAGAGAUCAGCAAUAUCUCACACACUAGUUUUAAAUGCUCCAACUUGAAUUAACGUCUAAGAAAACAAUUACUUGAUAUAAUAUUUGAUAAAUUUAAGGUACGCUUGAAGCGUGAUAAUAUUCUAUUCUAAUACAAAAAUUUCCAAACAAAAAUGGAGCAAUUAGCAAAGUUGGCUCCGUUAAGGAGGUAUAUAUUCUUGACAAGUAUUUAAACAUAACAAAUUAUCAAACGCCAAAAGAGGUUUAGUAUGUUGAAAAUUGAGAUAUUUAUAUAAGUUAUUUCGUUAUGCAAAAUAAUUGAAUCGAAAAAAAAGUUGUCGAUAAUACUUUUGCACAUUAUGUACUGCGUCAUAUUAUGAAUAGCGAUGAAUGGAAAUAAAUUCGUCGAAACAUAUCGAUCAAAGUAAUUAUUGGACAAAUAAAAUGAUGCAAUCAUACUAAAAUUGAAUUUGCUAGAAAAAGCUAAAAUUUCUGAAUCUACAAUCUAACACCUAAAGUUGUAUACUUAUGCCGAAUGAAAAUGGAAAAACUAAAGUUGUAAUAUCAAACGUACAACACUUUACAUAAUGAAUUUUCGUGAAGACUUGUAGAAAUAGAUAAGUUAUCAUGUGAUGUAUAUAAUUUUAAGUGUCUGCCUUGUUAGCACGACAAUAUAUGGAAUUUGAUAUGCAUAUGAUAAAUUUGAUUAUAGUUGUAUACUUAUGUGGAAUGAAUAUGAAAAAAGUAAAGUCGAAAUAUUAAAUGUACAACCCUUUACAUAAUGAAUUUCGUAAAAACUUGUAUAAAUAGAUAAAUUAUCAUGUGGUGGAUAUAAUUGCAAGUGUCUACCUUGUUAGGGUGACAAUGCAUAGAAUUUGAUAUGCAUAUGAUAGAUGCGAUUAUGGUUAACUUAUCUUAAUAUAAAUUUAAUAUUAUCAUUGAAGAAUUUUAUAUCUGAAGCAUAAAAUUCAAGUUAAUGAAAUGUAUGGUCGAAAAGUUGUGGAUUUAUAAAAUAUGUGAUUAAAAUGGAAUUUUGACUUUGACUUAAAUUAGAAUCUAAAUUUUAAUUGGCACCCGAUAGAAGCAAAAUCAUUAACAUAAUCUGUCACAGUUAUUAAUCUCAUAUUUUUUUAUAAAAAAAAAAAAUGGCAGAUAUCGUCAUUUUUAUAUAUAUCCUUCAACAAAUAUUCGUCAAAGCAAUUAUACCACAUAAGUUCGGAUUCUUUAAAUUGUAUAAUGAUCUUUACAACUUAAUUUAAACGUAAUUCUAGAGCAUAUAUCAUUUGUUUCAGACACUUUUAAGUCUUUUGAGGAUUUUCAUGUAUAUGUCACUAUCGAGUGAAUAUAGAUAAGUAAUUACUACAUUCAUUAUGUUAUGUCGAGUUAUUAUAAAACAUGAAAAUUAUUCAAUCAUUAAAGUGGAACGCCGUCCGCCACAUGAAAAUAUUUUUCCUCACUUUAAAAUCCUUUAGAGAUUUUCUAACAAAAAGAUUAUUUGCAUCCUACAAGGAUUAUAUUUAAAGCGAUCGAACCACAAGUCUAAACAUUUUUCUUUACCCAUAAAUUUAAUUUUGCCUUUGGAGCUUCUUUUUGUUUUUGGCCAAUAAUUUCGAUAUCGCAUUUUUUGAUGGACGUUGCUUUAAUAUCCUCAUUAUGACCAAUAAGUAUAGAGUGCUACAAAAAUUGUCUACAAAUAGUUAUCUUUGAUUCCAUUCGUUUCCUAUAGUAACAUAACUUUAUUGUGAUUUUUUUGUUUCACAAAUUUCAGGUAUCUGAACUACUCUUGGGGUUAUUCAAUUAGCUAUAUUUUAUGAUAUCUUCAAAAUUGUCAUUUUCAAUAGGAUCAUCUUGAUUAUUUUCCCAGUUUUAUUUGGAAAAUUUUUGUCUUUGGAAUUGAUUUUUGGAACAUCCUUCGACACGCUUUAGAUUUAUUCACUUGAUAAUAGUGAUUUGCCCUACUUGUAUAUCUAUUCGAGUUUGAGCAUUUCCAUUGGGUAUAUUUCAGUUAUUCAUUUGACAAUUAAUUUGUUCUUACAUAUUGAUCUUUUGGUUCACAUUGUAUUAUGACGAUAACCACAAUGUAUUUUCCCCCCUUAUUUCAACUAUUUAAUAUCUCCUUUAAUGUUAGGAGACGGUCCUAUAAAUAAUGAUAGUUAACAAAUCGCCUUGUAAAAUAUCAUCCAUAGGAUAUAUUUUAUAUAAAGGGGAAUUCAAACUGGAUGGCCAUUUUCAGCCUGCUUACCAUUAUUUAAAGUUGUAUUUUAUUCAAGAAACAUACUGACAUAAUAUUCUAAUAUUACUCGAAUUGUGAAAUAGUGUUUCUAUAGGAAAAAUACAAUACAAUCUCUUUUGUUUAAGAAUUUAAAAUUUGUUACUAAAAAUUAAAAAUAAUAGUAUGUUCACAAUAAAAAGUCUUAUGUAUAUGAAGAGUUAUAUGUAUUAUACAUCAGUCUCAAGGUAAUAAUAAAAAUUAAUAUAAGGAAGAAAGUAAAGGAUUUUUUAACAUAAUAAUUACUNAAUCAGUUUUUUAUGUGUAAAAUUUUUUUUUCGACGUAGUAGCCCGGUCGUAGAUCCAAUCCUGAAUCUGUCCCUGUCUUCAUGCAAACUUAGAAUUAGGAUGCCAAAUUUGUUUAACCAAAUAAGGAAUAUCAUGUAUAAUAUAAUAUGAAUAAAACAAAACCAUCACAAAUUUUUUAAGAGAGAGAUGCACAUGCAACUGUCCAAAAGAGAAAUCACAUGAUAUUCGUUGUCGUUAUCUCUUGGAAUUUGAUAAAAACAAUGCUUCAAUAACUAACUACACGAUGAAAUAACAGAAAAUGCAAUUGACCUCCGUCAGCUUUCGAUUUACUACAGGCCCAGUCCUGGGGCGCGCCUUAGGCCCAAGAUCAGAGGGGGCCUAAUUUUUUUUUAGAGUACAUUAGGCUCUUUACUCUAUUAAAUUGACCAAAUUGAAUAAUACACUUUUAAAUAAAAUAAAAUACUCACCACGUAAUUUAAACGUCCUAAAAGUCAAAACCCCCAAAUCAGAUCCCCAAUUCCUGUCUAAGAAGACAAACCUCUUUAACAGUUCAAAAGAAAAACUCUCUUUUUCGAUCUCUGCCAUCAGCUCUCUGUCGUCUUCGCCUUAAGUUUUCAACCAUUCUAGUUGUAAACGAAGUGUGACACACUCAGCAAGUGAAACAACAAUAAUUCUCAAGUAAACCUCUCUCUCCUCAUCCGUAUAUAUACACGCAUCUAUAUAUACAUACAUCAAUGUGGCGUAGAGACACUUGCUAUUUUAAUUUUUAACACAUUCUAUAAUUUAACUACUCGUAAUGUUUUUUUAAAAAAAUAAUUGUUGAAUUUCUGAUGAGUUUGAGGGCUUAUAUUCGUGAAUCUGAUAGGCAUUCUUUGAUAUAUUUGUGAAUUAGCCAAAUAUUAUAACCGGCUCUUCAUGAAGCACCCACAAGAAGUAAAAGUGGGGGACUGGGAGGUUAAUAAUUAUCAAUUGAGAGCAUUGUAAUCCCCAUUGUGCUCGUGCAAAGUGCAACAAAUCAGUAAUAUGGUUCCCAUUCGUAGAAAAUGAGACCUCUGCUUUUUGAUUAAAUUGGCAGAGUAACGGAUUCAAGAAUAACAACUUAGCCGAAAGCUGUUUUAAAUGAGUAAGGAUUAUGAACAUAUAGAUGAUGAAGGGCGUAGGUUACCUGUUUCUUUCUGGGACUACUGUUGGAGCAUAGUUGUUUGAAGAGGUAGCAGAUUGGUCUCCAUUAGUUGAUGAAAUUUAAAUGAGGAGCAAAGAGCAUGUUGGCAAUGUGAUUAGGUUUGAAACCUAUAAUGUAAAUAAUUGACACUUAUGAAGUUCUUUUUGAUGAUUUUGCUAUUGUGAUUGGGAAUAUUUUUUAAAAUAACAUUGUUGAACUUAAGAAGAAAUUGAUUGCGUCAAUACAUAUGAAAAAUUAGUCUUGAAUCAAUUAAACUAAUGCAUACAAGGUGUUUGACGAAAGGAAAAUGUGGAAUUUCUAAAAAAAGUCAUACUAUCUUAUUUGAACAAUUAACUAUAUGUAUACGUGUGCAUUUGUAAAAUUUGAACAUACAAAUUCAAGCCUUGUUUUAUGCUAAUACAUAAAAGAUAAUUUUGAAUCAAUUAGAUUGAUACAUGCAAUGUGUUUGCUUAAGGAGAAUGUGAAAAAGUGAUAGAAUGUCACUUUUCUAAAAAAAAAAAAAGUCACAUUAUGUCAACAUUAACUAGAUUUAUAUGUGUGCAAUUAUUUUAUUUUAUUUUAUUUUUUUCCAAAAUUUGAACAUACAAAUUCAAGCCUUAUUUUAUAACUUAUAUUAAUACAUAUAAAAAGGAAAACUUUGAAUCAAUUAAAUUGAUUUAUGUAAGGCGUUUGCUAAAGGAGAAUGUAAAAAAGUGUCACUUUUUUAUUUUUUGCCACUUUUUUGAAUCUAUGUAACUUUUUUUUUAAUUUGUAUUACUUUUUUUAAAUUUCUAUCAUUUUUUUUGAAUUUUUGUCAUUUUUUAUCAAUCGUCUUGAAAUUUCUAUUACUUUUGUAGUGACAAACAUCAUUUUUUAAUAAAAGUCAGAUUGUAUGUCAUUUUUUAAUAAAAAUGUGACACAAUUGUUAAAAUUGAUAAUUUUUAGGAAAACUUUUUAAUUUUAGGUAGUAUUUUUUACUUCCAAAAAAUUUUUCAUAUGAUUUUUUAAAUGAUCUCUAAUUUUAAGGGUAUUUUUGUAAGUUGCCCAAUUUUUUAUUUAUUUAUUAAGAAAGGCUUCAUGGCCUAAACACAAUUGGCAAUUACCUAUGAACAACCCACACAUUUACCCAACCCAACCCAACCCAACCCAACGUAUAUAUCCACAAUCCAUAAUAUCCAUUUACCCAUAACCAAAAUUCCCAGAUCUGAAUCCUAGGGCUUGCUCGACUGCUCUUCAAUCUCAGUCUCACCUCCAUCUCUACGUGAUUUCGUCCGCUGCCGAAUGCUCCAGUCUCUCUCCUCCUCUUUUCCAGUUUCCUUCUUCGCCAGAUGCUGGUUUGCUUCGCCCCUAUUAGUCUAUUUGGUUUUUUUUCUUUUCAAACCUUUUUGUUAGAAUUGGACAACGAAAACCAGAAGUUUGUGAGUGAUUAUACUCAAUGCUUUGGAUUUGUAUUGCUUGAGAGUAAUUUCUUGGCUAUACAAAGCUUUGGAAUUUUAACAAAAAUGUCCGUUGGUGAAGGUUACAGAACAGUGAGUCAGUGACGGCCUUGAUUUGCAAUUAACUAUUGCUUUACUUGCGUGGUUAUUGGUUAACCGUUAACAUGUGGCUGUAUAUUCCAUUGUGGUUUUGUGAUUGGAUUAUGGACAUUAGAAAUUUAAUUGAAUAGAUAUAAAUUUUCAUAAUUUCAAUAUAUUUGUCUUAAUGUACUUACAAUUAUUUAUUAUUAGCCACUUUUAAAUUUCUGAUAAAAAAAAUUACACUUCCUAUAUUGCUAUUUUAGUAAUCAGAUUGUAAAAGCUUUGCCGUUGCAACUCCUUCACUUAGUGAUCUGAUCCAAACAAAGAAAAGUAGACGGCAGAGGCGGAGAGAAACUAAAACGUUUUUUAAAGAAAUUGUGAAAAAAGAGAGAGAGAAAAUGAGUCAGAGAAGAUCCAUAAGUGGAAGGCCAUUGGGAACUGACGGCUCUGAUUUCUCCUACCGCAUGGUCGUCGACUCCAGUGAGAAACAAAUAGGCAGUAAUAAAAUAGAGGAUACCAAUCAGUGCAACAUCAUGAUCAGGGAGGGCUUCGACAAGAUCUAAGUCCGGCAUUUGGCAGGCAGAUAUAAAUGUGGACUUCACAUCUUCAUGUGUUACACUACCUACCUGAGAAAAGUAUUUUGUCUUCAAUUGUGACGGUCUACUUUCAAAAAUACUGAUGUCACUAUUGCCGGAACAUCUCAAUCCCGUGACCAGACAAAACUCAGCUAUAGAAAAUCUUACAUAUCGCUCGGCAACUAAAAACCACAAUUCUUCAGGAUUGGGUUGAUAUAC
rnacentral:lncRNA from 1 species